AUACGGAGGAUGCGAGCGUUAUCCGGAUUUAUUGGGUUUAAAGGGAGCGUAGGUGGGAUAUUAAGUCAGCUGUGAAAGUUUGGGGCUCAACCUUAAAAUUGCAGUUGAUACUGGUUUCCUUGAGUACGGUAUAGGUGGGCGGAAUUCGUGGUGUAGCGGUGAAAUGCUUAGAUAUCACGAAGAACUCCGAUUGCGAAGGCAGCUCACUAGACUGUUACUGACACUGAUGCUCGAAAGUGUGGGUAUCAAACAGGAUUAGAUACCCUGGUAGUCCACACAGUAAACGAUGAAUACUCGCUGUUUGCGAUAUACAGUAAGCGGCCAAGCGAAAGCAUUAAGUAUUCCACCCGGGGAGUACGCCGGCAACGGUGAAACUCAAAUGAAUUGGCGGGG
rnacentral:rRNA from 1 species